rnacentral:rRNA from 1 species
UUAAGCGAUGGAGUGACGCAGAAGGGUAGUCUGUGCGUGGCGAUGGUUGUCCACGUUCAAGGGUGUAGGGCGAGGUGUAGGCAAAUCCGCACCUCACGUGCCUGAGACCUGAUGAGGAGCCUCACGGCGAAGCAGAUGAUCCCAUGCUGCCUAGAAAACCUUCUAGCGAGGUUCGAGCCGCCCGUACCCCAAACCGACUCAGGUGGUUAGGUAGAGAAUACCAAGGCGAUCGAGUGAAUCGUGGUUAAGGAAUUCGGCAAAAUACCCCCGUAACUUCGGGAGAAGGGGGGCCCUGAUCGUGACGGGACUUGCUCCCCGAGCGUGAUCGGCCGCAGAGACCAGGGAGAAGCGACUGUUUACUAAAAACACAGGUCCGUGCCAAGUCGCAAGACGAUGUAUACGGACUGACGCCUGCCCGGUGCUGGAACGUUAAGGGGACCGGUUAGCCUCACGGCGAAGCUGAGAACUUAAGCGCCAGUAAACGGCGGUGGUAACUAUAACCAUCCUAAGGUAGCGAAAUUCCUUGUCGGGUAAGUUCCGACCUGCACGAAUGGCGUAACGACUUCUCCACUGUCUCAACCACGAACUCGGCGAAAUUGCACUACGAGUAAAGAUGCUCGUUACGCGCAGCAGGACGGAAAGACCCCGGGACCUUCACUACAGCUUGGUAUUGGUGUUUGGUACGGCUUGUGUAGGAUAGGUGGGAGGCUAUGAAGCGGGCACGCCAGUGUCCGUGGAGCCAACGUUGAAAUACCACUCUGGUCGUGCUAGAUAUCUAACCUCGGUCCGUAAUCCGGAUCAGGGACAGUGCCUGGUGGGUAGUUUAACUGGGGCGGUUGCCUCCUAAAAGGUAACGGAGGCGCCCAAAGGUUCCCUCAGCCUGGUUGGCAAUCAGGUGUCGAGUGUAAGUGCACAAGGGAGCUUGACUGUGAGACAGACAUGUCGAGCAGGGACGAAAGUCGGGACUAGUGAUCCGGCGGUGGCUUGUGGAAGCGCCGUCGCUCAACGGAUAAAAGGUACCCCGGGGAUAACAGGCUGAUCUUGCCCAAGAGUCCAUAUCGACGGCAUGGUUUGGCACCUCGAUGUCGGCUCGUCGCAUCCUGGGGCUGGAGUAGGUCCCAAGGGUUGGGCUGUUCGCCCAUUAAAGCGGUACGCGAGCUGGGUUUAGAACGUCGUGAGACAGUUCGGUCCCUAUCCGCUGCGCGCGUAGGAAACUUGAGAAGGGCUGUCCCUAGUACGAGAGGACCGGGAUGGACGAACCUCUGGUGUGUCAGUUGUCCUGCCAAGGGCACCGCUGAUUAGCUACGUUCGGAAGUGAUAACCGCUGAAAGCAUCUAAGCGGGAAGCACGCUUCAAGAUGAGGUUUCCAUGGGGUUUACCCCGAGAGGCUCCCAGCUAGAACACUGGGUUGAUAGGCCGGAUGUGGAAGUGCGGUAACACACGGAGCUGACCGGUACUAAUAAGCCGAUAACUUGACAU